rnacentral:rRNA from 1 species
GACGAACGCUGGCGGCGUGCUUAACACAUGCAAGUCGAACGGAAAGGCCCUGCUUUUUUGGGGUGCUCGAGUGGCGAACGGGUGAGUAACACGUGAGUAACCUGCCCUUGACUUUGGGAUGACUUCAGGAAACUGGGGCUAAUACCGGAUAGGAGCUCCUGCUGCAUGGUGGGGGUUGGAAAGUUUCGGCGGUUGGGGAUGGACUCGCGGCUUAUCAGCUUGUUGGUGGGGUAGUGGCUUACCAAGGCUUUGACGGGUAGCCGGCCUGAGAGGGGGACCGGCCACAUUGGGACUGAGAUACGGCGCAGACUCCUACGGGAGGCAGCAGUGGAGAAUAUUGCACAAUGGGCGGAAGCCUGAUGCAGCAACGCCGCGUGCGGGAUGACGGCCUUCGGGUUGUAAACCGCUUUCGCCUGUGACGAAGCGUGAGUGACGGUAAUGGGUAAAGAAGCACCGGCUAACUACGUG